rnacentral:lncRNA from 1 species
UCUACCUAAGCUUUAUUUUUACUAUAUAUAUCUUAACACAUAAAUAAAUAAUGUGCUUAGAAUUAAUGUGCUAUGAAAUUCUCUGUCUUAGUGUCCCGAGGUGAACAUCUGCAAGCCUUUGACAGUUUGGUAGUUCAACCACUGCACAUAUAGGAAUAAGCAGUGUUAAGACUUGGCGUACAACAACAUAAACAACACUUAAGCAAAUGUUCAGCAGUCUUAUAUAGGCAUUUAAAAGGUACACAACAAACUUUCCGAAAGCACAACUAUCUAUUUUGCCUUCUGUCCAGUUUGUGAAAGAUACAGUUACGAGAAAGUAUGAUACAGUUAACAGAAAGUACUUCCAGAUUUCUGCAGGCAUGGCCUGCUUUAAUGGAAAAGUUAACUUAUAUACUACAUAGCGGCUGCUUUAUCCAAUAAAAUAAAGAUUCCAAAAGAAAAGUAAUCUUCUAUCAUGAGGUAUUUUAACCCCAGAAUGGAAAACCUGAAGAUAGCAGAAGGAUAAAACCCUUGACAGGAGAAACUACAAAAGCUUCAGGGUUUCUCCGGAAAAUAGAAAGCGAGCAGUUUAGAAACACAGUAGGCAAAAUAAAAGGUUUUGUACUCCAACCGAGAGUAUAUUUCAUAAACACUCAAUAAUUUUGCCUUCCUCCUGAUUUCAAAAACAGACAUUCUGCAGAAGGGAUAAAAACUGUAGCACAGCUACUUCACUUGAGCCCAUUAGAGCCCAUUAAUUUUCCCCUGUAAAUAGCCUUCCAUAUACCACCAAAAGGCUGACUGAUAGAAGAUCCAGAGGAAUAAGGUGCUAUAAAAUGAAGUAAUCAGGCAAGUAGAACAGAACUUCAAUUUCUAAACAAAUGGGAACGCUGAUGGCAAAAGAAGUCACUUCCAACUUGUGGGGGAAAAAGUAAUUCUGGUUCCAUGAGGUUUUCUGCAUUUUCAGUUUUUCUUUGAUUUUUAUACUCCUCAUGAUGCCCAAUUCCUGCUUCCUAUAAACAGCAGAAAUAACUAUUACUUCAGCAUGGUGCCCCCAUGUCUAUAUAGUCACCAACAUGGCCGUAAAGCUCUAGCUGUAGUAGCCUGAAAAAAUGAGGCUUAAAAACCAUGAAGCUACCUGUUGUGUCACGAGCACAAGAUUAAUAUUUAUGUAAAGAACCUGAACAAAAUCAACUUUCAGCAAAGUUUGGCAAAACUUGAAACACCGUUUACCAAGAGGGGCAUCCAGAUGAUUAGUUUCUUGAGAACUCAACCUAUAUAUAGGUAGUAAUUCAUAAACCUUACAGUUUCAUAAAUAAUGUAUCACAGCUCAGAUCCUUCAAGCACUUGUUAUUAAAACUACUCAGAUACAUAAAUGUUUACUGACUUUGUGUGUUGAAAUGUGAACUGACAUGAACUUAAACACAGCUUUUAAACACCCAGUCCCUUUCUGCACUGCAUACAGAUUUCCUGAGCAGCAGAGGAGGAAAACGGAACAGAUUUAGACAAGCAUAGAGUGGCUAUUUGUACAUUUAUGCACAGAAAACUUAUUAUAAUACUGAUACAGAUUUGGAAAGCUUAGUGGCCACGUUUAGGUAUGUGGUCAGUAGAGAGCUACAACAGCUGACAUCCAUCAUCCAUGCCAAAGUACUCUAGAGAUGGGCAGUGCUAAGCAAGGAAAAGCAACUGUUUCUCCCAUCGUGGUUUAAACCCAGCCAGUAACUCAGCACCACAGAGCCGCUACCCUCUCCCAACCUCCUUGGGCAGGUUGGGGAGGAGAACUGAAAGAAUGUAAACCCCACGGGUUAAGAACAGUUUAAUAAAUAAAGUACAAUAUACUACUAUACUAAUACUACUACUACUGAUAAGGGAAAUAACAAGGGGAGAGAAUAUAAAACUAAAAAGGAGAAAGGCAAAAAAAAAAAAAA